rnacentral:tRNA from 1 species
GGUUGUAGCUCUGAGGUAGAGUACUUGCCUGGCAAGCAUGUGGCUUUGGAUUCAAUCCCCAGUUCCACCA